rnacentral:rRNA from 1 species
AUUAAACGCUGGCGGCAUGCCUUACACAUGCAAGUCGAACGGCAGCACGGGGGCAACCCUGGUGGCGAGUGGCGAACGGGUGAGUAAAGCAUCGGAACGUGCCCUGGAGUGGGGGAUAACGUAGCGAAAGUUACGCUAAUACCGCAUAUUCUGUGAGCAGGAAAGCAGGGGAUCGCAAGACCUUGCGCUUUGGGAGCGGCCGAUGUCGGAUUAGCUAGUUGGUGGGGUAAAGGCCUACCAAGGCGACGAUCCGUAGCGGGUCUGAGAGGACGUUCGCCACACUGGGACUGAGACACGGCCCAGACUCCUACGGGAGGCAGCAGUGGGGAAUUUUGGACAAUGGGCGCAAGCCUGAUCCAGCCAUGCCGCGUGCGGGACGAAGGCC